rnacentral:misc_RNA from 1 species
GAUGAAGAACGUAGCGAAAUGCGAUAAGUAAUGCGAAUUGCAGAAUUCAGUGAAUCAUCGAAUCUUUGAACGCACAUUGCGCCCCCUGGUAUUCCGGGGGGCAUGCCUGUCCGAGCGUCAUUACAACCCUCAAGCUCAGCUUGGUGUUGGGCCCCGCCGCCCCGGCGGGCCCUAAAGUCAGUGGCGGUGCCGUCCGGCUCCGAGCGUAGUAAUUCUUCUCGCUCUGGAGGUCCGGUCGUGUGCUCGCCAGCAACCCCCAAUUUUUUUCAGGUUGACCUCGGAUCAGGUAGGGAUACCCGCUGAACUUAAGCAUAUCAAUAAGCGGAGGA